rnacentral:lncRNA from 1 species
AUACACCACUGCUGUAUCAUUAAUCCAUUUGGCUUCUGGAUUAUGAACUAUGAACUCUUUUCUGAAGAGAUCUUCCAAGGACAAUCUGGUUUCAGAAGAAUUUGCAAGCUCAUCUGGUGUUAAAAGAAUGACAGACAUAGUGAUGAGCGAGCAAACAACUAGAAUCACCAGCAGAGCAAUAGCAAUUCCCUUCCAGUUCCUCUGCGGAGGGCUGUUACUUCCAAGUUCCUGGUCGGGCUGAGGCGGCGGCGGGUUCCCCCUGCCGCCCGGGUGCGCCGGCUGCUCCUUCAUCGCUGUCAUCGCAGGGGACUCGGCUCCGCUCGCCUGGGCUGCUCUCACCGCCUCUCACUGCCGCUGCGGCCCCGGGCAGCCCUCCCUCGGCGCCAGCCGCAUGACACCAACCUCCCCUCGAAGCGGCGCGGCGGCAGAGGAGGAGGAAAAAUAAAGAAAGAGGAAGGCGGGCGGGAGGCGCGGAGCCACCGCUCCCGCGGGCGGAAAUCCCAGCCCCGUGUCGGCCCCACCGCCGUGCUCCUCCUGCCC